GACGGAAGGUGCAAGCGUUGCUCGGAAUCACUGGGCGUAAAGGGUGCGUAGGCGGCUGUGCAAGUCUGGCGUGAAAGCCCCGGGCUCAGCCCGGGAAGUGCGCUCGAAACUGCACGGCUCGAGUGCCGGAGGGGAGAGUGGAAUUCCUGGUGUAGCAGUGAAAUGCGUAGAUAUCAGGAGGAAUACCGAUGGCGAAGGCAGGUCUCUGGGCUGACACUGACGCUCAUGCACGAAAGCGUGGGGAGCAAACAGG
rnacentral:rRNA from 1 species